rnacentral:rRNA from 1 species
GACGAACGCUGGCGGCGUGCUUAACACAUGCAAGUCGAACGGAAAGGCCCUGCUUUUGUGGGGUGCUCGAGUGGCGAACGGGUGAGUAACACGUGAGUAACCUGCCCUUGACUUUGGGAUAACUUCAGGAAACUGGGGCUAAUACCGGAUAGGAGCUCCUGCUGCAUGGUGGGGGUUGGAAAGUUUCGGCGGUUGGGGAUGGACUCGCGGCUUAUCAGCUUGUUGGUGGGGUAGUGGUUUACCAAGGCUUUGACGGGUAGCCGGCCUGAGAGGGUGACCGGCCACAUUGGGACUGAGAUACGGCCCAGACUCCUACGGGAGGCAGCAGUGGGGAAUAUUGCACAAAGGGCGGAAGCCUGAUGCAGCAACGCCGCGUGCGGGAUGACGGCCUUCGGGUUGUAAACCGCUUUCGCCUGUGACGAAGCGUGAGUGACGGUAAUGGGUAAAGAAGCACCGGCUAACUACGUG